rnacentral:rRNA from 1 species
GACGAACGCUGGCGGCGUGCUUAACACAUGCAAGUCGAACGGGUCUGCCCUGUUUUUUGCGGGGUGGGUCAGUGGCGAACGGGGGAGUAACACGUGAGUAACCUGCCCCUCACUUCUGGAUAACCGCUUGAAAGGGUGGCUAAUACGGGGUGUUCUGGCUGUGCCGCAUGGUGUGGCUGGGAAGGAUGCACGUUUGUGGUGUUUUGGCGGGUGAUGGGCUCGCGGCCUAGCAGGUUGUUGGUGGGGUGAUGGCCGGGCAAGGCUUUGACGGGUAGCCGGCUUGGGAGGGUGGGCGGUCACACUGGGACUGCGAUACGGCCCGGACUGCUGCGGGGGGCAGCAGUGGGGGGUAUUGAACAAUGGGCGGAAUCCUGAUGCAGCGACGUCGCGUGAGGGAUGGAGGCCUGCGGGUUGUGAACCUCUUUCGCCGGUGAAGAAGGUCCUGCUCUUUGUGGUGGGGUUGGCGGUUGCCGGGUUAUGAAGCGCCGGCUAACUACGUG